rnacentral:lncRNA from 1 species
UCCAAUCGAUAAAGAUACUGAUCAAUUUAAUUCUAUUCAAGUUAUUCAAUUUUACUAAAUGUAAACUUAGGCGUGUAUGGCAGACGAGGUAAAUUGGAACUGAUUCAAAUUAACACCGCUAAUGUUGAACUAUUAAAAUGGCUAUCCCUGUUACAGUUCAGGUCUGGUUUUCCAAAAUAAACUAUAACAAUUGAGAUUAUACUAUAACAUGGCUAAAUGACAAACAUCCACCUGAUAGUCUACUGUUUCUAUCACAUACAGGAAUCCAAAUAUGCUAGCACUCAACUAACAACCACACGAACAACCUAUGUGUAAAAUUCAUCAGUCCAGUUUUCAGGAAGUUUACAUUAACUGAAAAUAAUUCUAAUUAAGCAAAUCCCUGUCCACUACAAUUCAAAACCAGCGAAACUAACAACUAGGCAGCAAUUGGUUGACUGAAACAAAAAAUAGUAGCUAUCAAUAACUAGGCAGCAAUUGGUUGACUGAAACAAAAAAUAGUAGCUAUCAAUAAUUAGGCAGCAACAGAGACUUGGAUCAUACUUCAUUUCAUUCCAAUAGCCAAAGAUGUACAAAUGUGUACCUGAAAAUUGAAUAGAUAUGAAAGAGGAGAGGUCAGUUAAGACGAUAGUGAGUAGCAGUAGUAAAUUCACAAUCCAAAAAGCCCAGAAAGUAGAAUCAAAAGUCCAUAAGCGUUUAAAUCAAACAAGGCUCAUAGAUCCGCUCAAAACCACACCAAAUUAACCACAUAGACUUGAAAAUGAACACAAAACCCCUCUGAAAUUUCCAGCAGACAGAAACUCAAACCAAACUAACUUAAAUACACCCAAAAUCACUUGAAAUCAUCUCAAAACAACUCUGAAUACUUCACCAAUCAAACAUUGAGCAUGUGACUCAAUUGGACAGCAAUCAAAAUUAACCUACAAUUCUUAAAUGAAACAGUAUAUUUUUGGAUUUUUUUGAAGAUUUUGGAUUUUCUUUUGAAAAAAACUAAGAUCUAAAGGAAUUUGAAUCUGAAAUUUGAAGGGGGGAAUUUUAGGCUGAAAAACUUGUGUGCUAAGGCAUGGGAAUGCCCUUUUAUAGGCAAAGAUGAGGGCAGCCCCCUAAUUUUCUGUUUUCACUUUCAGUCCCUAGUUUAUUUCAGUUAGUCCUUCAUUUAUUGACUUGUUACUCAAGUAAGCCUACUAACUUCCCUGAUAUUACAACUAAAUACAUAUUCUAGAAGGUUCUAGUAUUAGCCACAACAUUUUAUCCUAAUAUCAACUAUCCAAAACACCCCUGAAAACCCCCCCCAAUUACUCUUGAUUUAAUCUCAGCAUUAUCAAUCAAGUACAGCUAUAUCCAAACAAUUAACUAAGCUCUAAAAGUGAGCUUCAACUUGCAAAAAAUGGAAUCCUAAUUACCAUUAUCCAAUUUAUCAACUAAACAUCAUUAAUGACCACAAGUAAGUACCAAGCUACACUAAUCCAACUAAUAACAAAAGGGAAAAAACCUACAAUGGCAUCAAUCGACUAAAAUGAACAAUCAAUCUUAAAAUACUGGAUCAAUUAAACACAUUUAAAGUCCAAGCGAGCAACUUAAUUGACUAACUCAGGUUCCACUCGAUGGGUGAAGCAAAAGAAUUAUGAAAAGAGGACAAAAAUAAAAACACAAGGAAUCGAUUAAGCAAGAUAGGUAGGCAACAAAGCAAGAACAAAACAAAGAAAAUAAAGAAAAAGAAAAACUCACUGACAACUCUUGGAUUUACAACUCGACCAAUUCCAGUGGUAUUUGAAUGUUGUUGAUUAUGAAAUCUUCAUGAGGGAGGUUUAAUGACCAUGUAAUAUCAAUUUGGGGUUAUUUGGUGAAGCUAGGGUUUUGGCCGAUUUUUGGAUUUGAAAUUCGAGAGGCUCGGCCAUGAUUUGAGGAGUAUUAUUUACAGAUUGGUAAUGAGAAAGUGGAGGAGAUUUGGUGGUGUAAAUUUGGAGACAAGUUUGGACGGUGUCUCCGCUGUGGACGGCGGAGACAGCGACUACAAAUUCGAUUAUCGAGGGCUUACGGUAGGAUUUGAGAGGAGAUGAGGGCCGAUUCGUAAAGAGGGCAUCGUGGCGGUAUAGGGGUGUGAAUUUGAGAGUCAUCGGAGAUGUGGAGUUUUCUCCGGCAGUAGAGCCGGCGGCGUUACAGGAAAGAGGGUGUGUACGAGGAUGAUGGAGUUGCUCUAGGGUUUGCUAAGAUUUUUGGACAAUUUUAUGUAAAAUGAAACUUAAUUGUGGACCGUUGGAUUGAAA